AAUUUUUUUUGGUGAAUAUUAAGCUAGAUAUGAUGAACGAAUGAUAGUUUUCUCUAUGCUUCAAAAAAAAAAAUAUUGGCUAGGUAGAACUGAGAUAAUUUUGACAUUAUUUUAUUUGGUGGAAUUUUGACGAAUUAUUUUCAGUAAAACGACGUAGCUCCGAUAUUUUGCUCACGCCAUCUCUGUCUCCCCGUUCCGCAAAGCAUCCAUUGAAUCCGUAAAAGCUUCAAUCGCUGAAGAACCCUAAACCUGAUCCUACAAAAGCUUCUGCUAGGUUUUCUCAAAGUAAUUACAGUAUUUCAUAUCACGAUGAAAGAAUGAUCAAACUUGAGGAGUUAAGGUUCAAACGAUUUGAGUGGAUUGGCGCAGUGUUCUUCAAAGUAUAUUAUAAUCGCGGAUCAUAGUUUUCAGAUGCGUGGACGAUAAAAUUGAAAAUUGAACAAGAGAUGAAGCUUCUUGCUCCCGUAAAUAGCGAAAUGGCAGAUGCAAUGAGCCUAAAAUUUGAUCAGGAUUGGGAAGAUUGCAGAACGGUUCUGGCGAUUUACCCUAAACACAAAAUUGUCUUUGUCAGAUUUUGCUUUACAAAAAGCUAGAACAUAUAACAGGUGAUGCUAGAAUAGAAAUUGUUUAAUAUUCUGGUGUUGCAUCAACAAGUAAUACUCUUAAAUGGAAACAUUUUUCAAAAGUGAAGCUGAUAGUGGAAUGGAGGAUGAUUUGAAAGAGUUUGAUGUAUUUGGGAUUAAGAUUGUGUCUGCUGUCAAUAGAUCACAAUUAUAUGUAUAUUUGGAAGAACCCGGAGUUGAUUGAAAGCAAAAUCCUCAUUUGUGUAUAUCUUGUGUAUAUAUAUGGCCUUCUUAAACUCUGAAGCUUGUGAAGAUUCUGAUGAUGAUCAAGCAAUUGCUACAGACAUUCAAGAGCUUGGUACUGAACUUUGUUGCCAUGCCAAUUAGAUUAACUGGUUUGUUCUAUCCUGUUAUGUAUUUUUUUGUCAUGACUAUACACUGAGACUAAUAUUGAUCGUGUCAAGUAGAAUCUUAAGGGGCACAUGCCUCGGACAUGAAGGUAGCUGCAUUCCCAUGCCUUGGACAUGAACGUAGCUGCAUUUCCAUGCCUCGGACAUGAAGGUAGCUGCAUUCCCAUGCCUUGGACAUGAACGUAGCUGCAUUUCCAUGCCUCGGACAUGAAGGUAGCUGCAUUUCCAUGCCUCGGACAUGAAGGUCGAGGCUGCAGUUCUUAGUAAAGGUGAGGUUCAGUACAGGCAGUGAACCAAGUUUGAGUUGAUAUUUGCUAGUGCAGUAAUGAAUUAUAUAAUUUAUGUUGAAUGCUCUGCUCCAUUUGGAUUGCCUGCCUGCUGCCUAGCUGCCAUCUAUUUGUUGUUUGGUGCAUUUAAGAUCGAACGGAUAUUGAAUCUGUGACCUCCAACUUAAGAUAUCGAUCACUAGACUACAAAAAGUCGUUUCCAGCUAUGUUUUGCCCACUUUUUUAAACCCACAGUUGUUUAUCCACACUUUAUCCAAUCUGUCCAUUUGACAACAGUGGAAUUAUUUGUUUGUGAUGCAAAAUUUAUCAAAUUUAUUCUUCUCUGUGUAUAUAUGCGGUUGUGAUAAGGAAAGAACAAGAUUUGAAGUUUCUGGGAAUGUAGGGAUCAUCCACUCACAGCCACACAUACCCAAUCUUACUUUCUUGGCAUCACCUUCUGGCUUAUCUUUCCCCCCAAUUUCCUUUUAGUGUCUUGGAACGUGCAAUAGAUUCUUAGCAUUAUGUAAAUGCUCUCAUUUUUUCGGCAAAUUAUUGUGUGGAUCAUGAAUAUAAUGUACAUUUUUAAUAUGCUAAAAGUAUAUUAUUUGUGCCGUGUGAACCAUGGUACAUGUAAUAAUGAUUGUAUUUUUUCAGCA